rnacentral:lncRNA from 1 species
AUUCAAUUAGUUGACCCUAAUCGUCAUACACGUAAGGAAAACCAAGAAUGAAAUAUAGAUACAUCCUAUCACGCCCUCGCAUAAUCACGAUUAUGAGAAUGGCGGCUACAUAACCAUAAGUGAGAUUCUUCUACUGACGUGUGCUCCAUUAGUCACAAGAAUAACCUAAAGCUCUGAUAUCAACUUUAUCACGACCCAAUUUAGGAUCAUGACCGGCGCUUAGGAGCAAGUGCCCUCAAGUAAGCAUCACCGGAAUUUUUUAGAAAAUCGGACAGAGUUUCCCCUAUUUUAGGACUAUCCAAAAGUUUUCCUGUCUCAUAAACAAAUAACAACCAACUAAUAUUCACCUAAAUCAGUCACAACCCUCAUCAACUAACCAAAAAUGAGUUUUCACCAAAAUUACAGAACUUAACAACAUAAUAAUACUAAUCCCGUCUCAAAAAUAUGAAAACAAAUGCAAUAUUAGGAACUAAUCCAAUAUAACAAAUGAAUAACCAUAACACUAAUAAAAAUGACUAUGGAGCGACUCUAUGAGUUCAAAAGCAAAGACGAUGACAAAUAAAUAGGCUCUUCGCCCACGCAAACAAGUGCGGGGCUCACCAGGAACUAUUAACUCGUAUACUCCAAUUAAAGAAAUCCUCACUCGCGUCAACUGCUAUCACUGUAAAAAAAAAAAUAGCGGGGAAUGAGUCGCUAGCUCAGUGAAUAAUAAUACUUAACCACAACCCCUUUUUUUCUUGGGGACAAGUCAGAAAACAUGCUCGUACAAUAAUAAAAAAUAUCAUGAAAUAAAUGCCCUUUUUUUCAGAAUCGGUAACAACAAUCAAUCUUGUCUGUUUUCAUGUAAGCAGAAAUCAAUUAACAAUUCAGUAAUAAACUCUGUAAACAUUGUCAUAUCAAUAUAGUUGGGAGUGUUCCAAGAAAGGAUCAUGUAAUCUGUAUCUCUGUGUAGACCCCUUCAUAAAAAGAGUCAAAUAUAACUCUUGGUCCCUACUCGAGGGAAAACUGUUACUGUAUGCUAGUUCUACCUUCCCACUAGCGAGUUAUAGCCUGUAAUCGGUAAUCUGUAAAUGCAAGGUGCACCAGGUCUAGCGAAUCCGCCAUUAGGUACGGGAUCCUUCAAAGUCUCCUCCCAUUUAUACUCUUUCU